UACGUAGGGAGCAAGCGUUGUCCGGAAUCAUUGGGCGUAAAGAGCGUGUAGGCGGCCCGGUAAGUCGGUUGUGAAAGUCAAGGGCUCAACCCUUGAAAGCCGACCGAUACUGCCGGGCUAGAAUCCGGAAGAGGCGAGUGGAAUUCCUGGUGUAGCGGUGAAAUGCGCAGAUAUCAGGAGGAACACCGAUGGCGAAGGCAGCUCGCUGGGACGGUAUUGACGCUGAGACGCGAAAGCGUGGGGAGCAAACAGG
rnacentral:rRNA from 2 species